AGAGUUUGAUCCUGGCUCAGGACGAACGCUGGCGGCGCGCCUAACACAUGCAAGUCGAACGAGCGAGAGAGAGCUUGCUUUCUUGAGCGAGUGGCGAACGGGUGAGUAACGCGUGAGGAACCUGCCUCAAAGAGGGGGACAACAGUUGGAAACGACUGCUAAUACCGCAUAAGCCCACGGCUCGGCAUCGAGCAGAGGGAAAAGGAGCAAUCCGCUUUGAGAUGGCCUCGCGUCCGAUUAGCUAGUUGGUGAGGUAACGGCCCACCAAGGCGACGAUCGGUAGCCGGACUGAGAGGUUGAACGGCCACAUUGGGACUGAGACACGGCCCAGACUCCUACGGGAGGCAGCAGUGGGGAAUAUUGCACAAUGGGGGAAACCCUGAUGCAGCGACGCCGCGUGGAGGAAGAAGGUCUUCGGAUUGUAAACUCCUGUUGUUGAGGAAGAUAAUGACGGUACUCAACAAGGAAGUGACGGCUAACUACGUGCCAGCAGCCGCGGUAAAACGUAGGUCACAAGCGUUGUCCGGAAUUACUGGGUGUAAAGGGAGCGCAGGCGGGAAGACAAGUUGGAAGUGAAAUCCAUGGGCUCAACCCAUGAACUGCUUUCAAAACUGUUUUUCUUGAGUAGUGCAGAGGUAGGCGGAAUUCCCGGUGUAGCGGUGGAAUGCGUAGAUAUCGGGAGGAACACCAGUGGCGAAGGCGGCCUACUGGGCACCAACUGACGCUGAGGCCCGAAAGUGUGGGUAGCAAACAGGAUUAGAUACCCUGGUAGUCCACACUGUAAACGAUGAUUACUAGGUGUUGGAGGAUUGACCCCUUCAGUGCCGCAGUUAACACAAUAAGUAAUCCACCUGGGGAGUACGACCGCAAGGUUGAAACUCAAAGGAAUUGACGGGGGCCCGCACAAGCAGUGGAGUAUGUGGUUUAAUUCGACGCAACGCGAAGAACCUUACCAAGUCUUGACAUCCUGCGACGCACAUAGAAAUAUGUGUUUCCUUCGGGACGCAGAGACAGGUGGUGCAUGGUUGUCGUCAGCUCGUGUCGUGAGAUGUUGGGUUAAGUCCCGCAACGAGCGCAACCCUUAUGGUCAGUUACUACGCAAGAGGACUCUGGCCAGACUGCCGUUGACAAAACGGAGGAAGGUGGGGAUGACGUCAAAUCAUCAUGCCCUUUAUGACUUGGGCUACACACGUACUACAAUGGCGUUAAACAAAGAGAAGCAAGACCGCGAGGUGGAGCAAAACUCAGAAACAACGUCCCAGUUCGGACUGCAGGCUGCAACUCGCCUGCACGAAGUCGGAAUUGCUAGUAAUCGCAGAUCAGCAUGCUGCGGUGAAUACGUUCCCGGGCCUUGUACACACCGCCCGUCACACCAUGAGAGCCGGGGGGACCCGAAGUCGGUAGUCUAACCGC
rnacentral:rRNA from 1 species